rnacentral:tRNA from 1 species
GGCGGAGUAGAGCAGUCUGGUAGCUCACGAGGCUCAUAACCUCGAAGCCACGGGUUCAAAUCCCGUCUCCGCACCA